GAUGAACGCUGGCGGCGUGCCUAAUACAUGCAAGUCGAGCGAACGGACGAGAAGCUUGCUUCUCUGAUGUUAGCGGCGGACGGGUGAGUAACACGUGGAUAACCUACCUAUAAGACUGGGAUAACUUCGGGAAACCGGAGCUAAUACCGGAUAAUAUUUUGAACCGCAUGGUUCAAAAGUGAAAGACGGUCUUGCUGUCACUUAUAGAUGGAUCCGCGCUGCAUUAGCUAGUUGGUAAGGUAACGGCUUACCAAGGCAACGAUGCAUAGCCGACCUGAGAGGGUGAUCGGCCACACUGGAACUGUGACACGGUCCAGACUCCUACGGGAGGCAGCAGUAGGGAAUCUUCCGCAAUGGGCGAAAGCCUGACGGAGCAACGCCGCGUGAGUGAUGAAGGUCUUCGGAUCGUAAAACUCUGUUAUUAGGGAAGAACAUAUGUGUAAGUAACUGUGCACAUCUUGACGGUAACUAAUCAGAAAGCCACGGCUAACUACGUG
rnacentral:rRNA from 1 species